CACCGUCUUGCAGUUCUCAGAGCUGGAAGGAGGAGGCGUCUUGUCUCCCCUUUGUAGUAGUAAACUUGCCUCUUCUACUCCUAUGGGGCCUCGUCCUUGACUUCAGUCUAGGGCAGUGAAAUGGAAGCCCACGCAGCAGGGACGCAGCUCCAACUUCACCUUUGGGUUUCUAGGGAGAUUUUUUCCCUGAACUCUUAAUUUAUCCCCCAACCCGGAUGGAACGCAGAUGUACCUAACUGGAUUAAUCGUAACGCCUGGCUCAAGAAGUCUGUGCAUGAUCCUAAAGUGCCUCUAAGAACUAGAACACUGACAAUAACUUUACUGCAACUCUGUCUUUUGUCUCCCUCCAUACCUCCUGUAAUCUGAGGUUCCAGAAAAUGCCCACAAAGAUGAAAUAGAUUGGGAGACUCUUUCAAGAACCUUACAGUAUAAUGUAGUGUCCACCUCCAGUCCUGGAAACUCUGCUUACAUGGGAACCUCCAGAGUCACAUCUUGCACAGGAGAGGGGUUCCAGAAAAUGCCCACAAAGAUGAAAUAGAUUGGGAGACUUUUUCAAGAACCUUACAAGAUAAUGGAGUGUCCAUCUCCAGUCCAUGGAAACUCUGCUUACAUUGGAACCUCCAGAGUCACAUCUUGCACAGGAGAGGGGUAAGUGACUGGCUGUUACAUGGAAUAGAAAGUGAGCAGAUUUGUUGCUUGACUUUUGGUGGAACUAUAAAUGUGUAUAUUCCAUAUGUCC